UAUGAGAAAACCGGGCUUCAAUCCAUGCAGGUCAUUUGCCCAUAGCUGCUCAACUGGUGGGCAGCAGAGCUGGGCUAGGACUCCCCCUGAAGCCUGCUUCAUGCUCCGUGUACUACAGAGCAUUGUGGAACGUCAGGGACCAGGCAGAUGUAGGACAGUCCCUAUCAACCCAGCUCGGAAGGCACGGCUUUGCCCGCAGAGGGCGCUCAAGACAGCCGCUCUCAGCUGCUGUGGGUCAGUGGGAUUGCGGAUACUGCUGCCAAGCACAGUUGGGGCCCGGGCUUCACAUCUGCUGCUCGCCUUUGCCAAACAGCUGUGUUCCGAGCAAGCAGCAUGAUGACACUCACCUGCAGGAAAUGUGGGUCGUGGCGUUGGUCUGCAGGCUGGGGGACAAAGAGCUGACAGUUCCACUCCAACAGGUGGGCCAGCCAAUCGAGAACCGGCUAGAGCAACGCAAAAAGAAUGUCUGUUGCUCUUAGUAAUGCGUGAGGGUGACCCAGCUGUUGGAUAAGAGCCUGGGCAGGAUGCUGUUGCAGUCUGGCUGAGAACCCACAGUCCCCAGGCCCGGGACUUACAACAUGGAGGAUCCUGACGGGAGUGUUCCCCAGAAGCCCUGGAGCGGGGCUGGAGAGAGACGGAACCACAGAGGGCAGAAAUGGCAGACACACACAAGGGCGCCAGUUGAACACACAAGUCACUGCUCCAAGGUGUAUUUUUGCUGCAUUCUCUCUGUCUCGUCAGGAGCAGAGAGGAGUACUUUCUUUGCUCUCAGGAAGCAAUAGCUCCAAAACUGAAAAAUGAAAGAGCUUUAUUUCAUACACAAUUGUACAUUUUUAAUUUUUGUAUUUAAGUGUAUUUAAUUUUAUGGUUUGAAUUUUGUUUUGUGGCAAGUGGAUACUGCUUUUCCGUCUCUGAAAGUAACAGUGUUCCCUUCAAAGCAUAUUGAUUUAAAUAAAAAAGGGGUCACUUACAAUGUUAUUAAUAAUAUAGUUCGAGCAUGGAAUUGGCAGAAGUCUUUAAAGUGUAUGCAGUCAGUUGAGAUGUGGGCAGUACUAUUAUUCAGGGCCUGGCACGGAAAGGCCUGGGGUACUGUCUCCCUUACCAAUUGAGUGAGUCAGCAGCUCCCAAACCUGUCUGUAUAUUGGAAUCACCUGGAAGGCUGGGGCGGGGGGUGGGCAGGUAGGUCUUCAAAACUACUGUCGCCUGUCUCCCUUCCCAGAGAUUCUGGUUUGAUAGGUCUGGGGUAUGUCCUGGGCUUUGGAGGUUGUCAGCGAUCCCCAAGUGGUCCUCAUGUCAGGCUCCUUGGGACCUCCUGCCACAGCACAUUCUUUGAUGUCCCCAAGACAUUCUCCUUGUCUACAGUAUGGGCAUGUUGAGUGUCUGCUCUACAGGAUCUGCUCUGGCCUUUGUGUUCUUAAAAAUAUAGGCAAAUGCCUUCAAGUGAAUGGUUUAACAUUUUGUCUCUGAUAGGGAUUGCUGGGCAGGAUGAGUCAUCUAGGUUCUAGAUGGAGAAGAUGUCAGUGCAGGUCUAGUCCGGGGCUGUUGGUGCAAAAGGAAGAAAGUGGAACAGAAGAUGGAGAGGAGGGGGUGCCUUACAGAAACUCUCCCUACCCCCAAGCCAGCUUCACGGAUCAUUCAUAUUUUCAGAUAGAAAUAGUAUGGCAUGGGGCAGAGCUAAGAUCUGGAUCUAGGAGCUAUGGGCUAGACAUAGACAAGCCCCUGUACCUCUUGGUGCCACAGUUUCCCCAUUUGGAAGAUGGGGGGGUGGACUAAUUGGUCAGUAAGGUCCCUUCCAUUCUGUAUGGGGUAAUCUAAAGCUCCUUUCUCUCACCCACAAGUCCUUUCUUGGCUUUUUGCCAAUGGAAUCCCCCAAGGGCCAGUAGAUGGCAGUAGAGACUUUUGAAUUGGGAUUUUAGCGCUUCUGGCCCACCUGAUUAGGCCUCCUACCCUGGCAAUGCUGGGAAUGCUGCCCCAGGACAGUUCUCUGCUGCUGAGCUCAACAGCUGCUGUCUGAAUGUACUCAUUCAUGAGCCACAAAGGGGCAAAAUUUAAAGGAAUAGUAUUUCUUUGGAGUUCCUAGACCAACGAGAGCGCGGCACAGUAGGACCAACCUGGUGCUCAGAGCCCAGUUACAUCAGACCUCGCUUGCGUCUGAUAUUGGGUCCCUCUUCCUACAGUGAUGCAUGAGUAAGGGAGCGUGGACGAGCACAAUUGGGCUUUUGUGGUAAGAGAGAAACUUGGGCCAUUUUUAAGGCAGAACCAAUUUCUGGGGGGGACUUAAAUGUGUACAUCACUGUAUAGUUUUAAAGGGCAUUCAUAUAUGUGAACUCAUCUUCGAAGCAACCCUUUGAAGCCGGUAGAAACAAUUUUCAGCUUUGUCAGGUGAGGGAGCUGAAUCUCAGGGUAAAUGGGAAAAGGAUUUGUUCAAAGGCAUCUUGCUCUAAGGAGGUGAUUAGAAACUCGAACUCAAGUCAUUUGACUCCUAAGCCCAGUCUUCUUUCUGCUGAUGGAGGCGCGUGGGCUAACGUGUUUCACGUUUGGAUUCCUGGAGGAACUCAGGGGACAUACAUUUGAUAAAUCUUCAUCAUUCCCUUACUGUGUGUCAAGCACUGAACUGUGUUCUGGCAACGCAGAGAUGAAAGGUAAGUAACCACCCCUACCUAUACAUACCGCUUUGUACGUUCUAGGGGCUAUUCUGAUACUUUAAUCAUCGCCCAAAUAAUCGCCCAAAAUAAAGAAAGAAAGAAAUAGCAAUAAUUGUCAAUUUCAUUCUUCAUAACAGCCCUUUGAGGUAGGUAUUGCUUUAACCCAAUUUAGAGGUGAAGAACCUGAGACACAGAGAAAUCAUGAAACUUACUCCGGAUCACAGGGCAAGCAGAGAGGCGGGGAAGCAGAGGCAGAGUGUUCUCGCUGUCAGUCUUUUCAAAAACACCCUCAUCGAGAUAUAAUUCACAUACUCUGCAAUUCGCCCAUUUAAGGUGAACAGUUGAGUGGUUUUUGGUAUAUUUGGCGGAGAUGAGAAAACAUCACCACAGUCCAUUUUAGACCAUUUUUUUAUUACCCUAAUAGGAAGCCCUGUUUCCAUUAGCAGUUGGGCAGUGGUGUUCUCAACGACUAGAUGCUAUAUUCCAUCUCGGUGGAGGAAGCAUGUCAUUGUCUUCUGUCUUCCAGGAGCUGUGCAGGCACUUCGAUAGAUGAGUACAUUGCAAUGCAAUCAACAUGACAGUAGUCGAGGCCCAAGGAACACACGGCCUACAGCGUAAUGCAGAGCUUCAAAGCGAGGACUUCUACCUAGAGAGGGAGAGAGAAUGGUUUUCUGUAUGGGGCCUGAGUUUUCUGUUUGUGACAGAGCUGUGGGUUCAUACUCCUGGAAAUUAAAAUGCGAUUUGUAGUGGGGACACUUAACCUUGAAUGCCAGGGGUUAGUGACCGUGAUGGCAUCCGAUUAGCUAGAGACCCUUCAGUUCUUGUGGGAAUGUGCUGGGCGGGCAGGAGGACGGCGUGCAGUCUGGGGUGAACAGAGGUAGGUUAAGAGCCCUGAGCUCCUGGUAUGUGGGCUGUUCCCGGGGAAACUCGGUUGGCUUCCCUGUUAUCCCCGGGGUCAACCUGGUGUGCUAAACUUUUCCAGCGGUGAAGCCGAUCUAGGAUAGGCCUUAUCUUGGUAGUUGCAGAAACUUUCAAGGAGCAGCUGGAGGACCGAGGAACCCACAGCUGGGUUUCACUUGCUCUGUCUACAGUGCAGCCUCAGCGUCUCAGUGUUUCCGGUGCUUACGAAGAUCCCUACCAGCUGGCUCCAAACACAGCUCCUGGGAGAGCUGUUUCUGGGAGGACUCUGGAGACUGCGUUUCAGCUUCAGGAACGGGGCCUGGCAGCUGUUAGCCAGCAGAAGAAAUAGCCUUUAUGCAUAGAUUUGUGCCCCCUUGGUUGCAUGUCUCCCUAAGAAGGCAACAGAAGAGGAGGACCGAUGAGGACAAAGUUACGAGAUCAAGCAAAAACAGUGAGAUUUGGAACCCCUCUUCUGCGCAAACCUUUUUGCUCUUUCCCUGACUUUCUACCUCAACAGAGGGCUCCGGGUGAGAGUGUGUUAAUAUAGACAGAGAUGAGAAAUUAGAUCAAGAGUCUCAUUUUGCCAUUUCCCACACCCUUGGGCAAAUUAUUGAUUCUAGUUUUCCCGUGAUUUAUAAAGUGAUAAUCUCUUGUAGCCAUAUAGAAUUGUAGAUGUCACAAAAUAGCUCUCACAUUUAUUAACUAAUAUGAGCCUCUCAAUACUGUAAGGGCUAGGGGGAUAUAAUUAUCUCUAUUUUACAGAUGAGAAAAUCCCCACGAUCCAGAGAAUUCAAGCCAUUUGUCUGAGGUCACAAGGCUAGUAAAUAGAGAUGAAAUAAAAAUUCAGCUUUUUGUUUCUUAGUUCAGUAAAUUUUAAGAGUCUCUUAGGCAUUUGAAUCUAACUCAUUGACGUUGACGUUGAGUAACCAGUGAUAACCCUACCAAGGAAAGAUUUUCUUAAAAACAGAAGAUAAAGGAACGGCAUAAAGAUGAUGGUUGACUGAAAAAGGCUCUGAGCAUCUCGAUGGAGGAGAUAGUAUCCAUUCAGAAACUAGAAGCAAUCCAGAAAUAAUGUGCUGAUUUGGGGAACGGAAUGCUGAAAAAGACCCAACUCUUACCUUUAAGAGGCUCAGAGACGAGCGGGGGCAUCCGAGUGAAAAUGACAGCAAAGGUGCAUGCACAGAGAGAAAAGGCUGCGUGAGGACACAGCAAGAAGAUGGCCAUUUGCAAGCCAAAGAGAGAGGCCUGGAAGAAAUCAACCUUGCUGACAUCUUGAUAUUGGCCUUCCAGUUUCCAGAACGAUGAAGAAAAGGAAGAAACUGAGGCACAGGGAGGUGCGUGUGCUCAAUCCACACAGCUCGAAAGUCCUGGAGCCAGCAUUUGACUAUGGGCAGCCUGACUCCAGAGUGCAGGCUCUUCUUCACCACUGUGGUCUUCUCCAUCCAAUUAGUUACUACCUUAAGUUGACAGAUGUGGAAACUGAGGCUCAGAGGUGAAAUUAUUAGACCAAGCCACACAGCUAGUAAAUGCCAGAGCCAAAACCUGAUCCCAAGUCUCUCUGGCUCCAAAAGUGUUCCCACUUUUUAUGGGGAAGAGCUCCUCCCUGCCUGUGGUUGCACACGUGGACUGUGUAUGUAACCUGUAGGAGCCGGCUGCUACAGCCCUGUGGGCCGUGAUUUGCUAGUCCCCCACCUACCAGUGACCUGAACAGAGUUGAAGUAACUUGCCACCACCACAUCCCAGGCCCCUCUCACGGUCGGCCUCUGGCCUGAAAAACUCUUCCCCAGUCCUCCUCACUAAAUUCUUCUCAUCUCUCAGAUCUCAGAUCAAGUGCCCCUUUCUGGGGGUGGCUUCUCUGGCCCUCCAAACAAAUCCAGUAUCCCCUUUGGGAGAUCUGUAGAGCAUCCCUUAGUUUUCUUUCUCACUUUUAAAUUAUCUACUUGUGUGAUUAUUUUAUAAGUACCUGCCUUCCCCUAGAUUGUCCACACUAUGAGGCCAGAGCCCACAGCAGAGUGAUACAGUAACACCUCCCGUGUUUAAUUCAGUUUUUAGCCUAUAGCUAAAAAUGGUAGUUAUUAUUCUAUAACACAGAUAUAUCUGUUUCUCUGUGUAUGUUUACAUAUAUACAUAUGUGUAUAUGUAAAUACACACAUAUAUAAAUACACACAUAUUUAAACGAUACUUAAAUGUCAUUAGGUCCAUCCCCUUCCUCCUCCUAAUGCAUCAAUCACAGAAAGGUCAAUUAGCCAUGGGAUUGUUGCAGCCCCCUGAUUGCUUGCUCUUGCAGACAUUGCUAAUCAAUCACCAUAUUCUCUUCUUCUGAGUGUCUGGGGAGCCUCAAAUCCCCUCUCAAGGCAUUGCUCCAGGCAGCCACUGUUGAUUAAUUGGGCUUGGCCCCAAAAAUGAAACUUGCCAUCCCAGAGGGGGAAACUAUUCUCAUGUAUUCCAUAUAGUUGAUUAAUCCUAGUGUUCUGCAAGAAUUAAAAAAAACAUAGGGAUGCCUGUGUGGCUCAGUCAUUAAGCGUCUGCCUUCGGCUCAGGUCAUGG